rnacentral:rRNA from 1 species
AUUGAACGCUGGCGGCAGGCCUAACACAUGCAAGUCGAACGGUAACAGGAAGACGCUUGCUUCUUUGCUGACGAGUGGCGGACGGGUGAGUAAUGUCUGGGAAACUGCCUGAUGGAGGGGGAUAACUACUGGAAACGGUAGCUAAUACCGCAUAACGUCGCAAGACCAAAGAGGGGGACCUUCGGGCCUCUUGCCAUCGGAUGUGCCCAGAUGGGAUUAGCUAGUAGGUGGGGUAACGGCUCACCUAGGCGACGAUCCCUAGCUGGUCUGAGAGGAUGACCAGCCACAAUGGAACUGAGACACGGUCCAGACUCCUAAGGGAGGCAGCAGUGGGGAAUAUUGCACAAAGGGCGCAAGCCUGAUGCAGCCAUGCCGCGUGUAUGAAGAAGGCCUUCGGGUUGUAAAGUACUUUCAGCGGGGAGGAAGGGAGUAAAGUUAAUAACUUUGCUCAUUGACGUUACCCGCAGAAGAAGCACCGGCUAACUCCGUG